rnacentral:rRNA from 1 species
UACGUAGGGUGCAAGCGUUAAUCGGAAUUACUGGGCGUAAAGCGCGCGCAGGCGGUUGGGCAAGACCGAUGUGAAAUCCCCGGGCUCAACCUGGGAAUUGCAUUUGUGACUGCACGGCUAGAGUGUGUCAGAGGGGGGUAGAAUUCCACGUGUAGCAGUGAAAUGCGUAGAGAUGUGGAGGAAUACCGAUGGCGAAGGCAGCCCCCUGGGAUAACACUGACGCUCAUGCACGAAAGCGUGGGGAGCAAACAGG